rnacentral:misc_RNA from 1 species
GAUGAAGAACGUAGCGAAAUGCGAUAAGUAGUGUGAAUUGCAGAAUUCAGUGGAUCAUCGAAUCUUUGAACGCACAUUGCGCCCUUUGGUAUUCCUUAGGGCAUGCCUGUUCGAGCGUCAUUUAAACCUUCAAGCUAAGCUUGGUGUUGGGUGACUGUCCGCUUCACGGCGGACUCGCCUCAAAAUUAUUGGCGGCCGGUACAUUGGCUUCGAGCGCAGCAGAAACGCGAACUCGGGCCCGUCGUAUUGGCUCCCAGAAGCUAUCUUCACAAUUUUGACCUCGGAUCAGGUAGGGAUACCCGCUGAACUUAAGCAUAUCAAUAAGCGGAGGA